CCGAACAACAAUAACAAACAUUGAGGCUGAGGGGCGGAACUAGGAGUGCGCAGAUGUGGGCCAGAGCGGAUUUCCCCUUCCCCAGGCAAAUUCGGCGCCCACUGCGUCCCCGCAGGCCACUGACCUUAGAGGACUACUUGCCCGAGACUCGUGGGGCUGGAUGGGAAUCGUAGUCUUCCUAGGAGUUGCCUCAGGUGGCGAUUCUGACCUUGGUACAGCAAUUACUGUGACGUAAUAAGCCGCAACUGGAAGCGUAGAGGCGAGAGGGCGGGCGCUUUACGGCGAACUCAGCUCUAAAACCAGCUCCAUCACUUGAAAUGGCAAAAUAAAUCAUGAAUGAGGCCGGGGGCUGUGGCUCACACCUGUAAUCCCAGCACUCUGGGGGGCCGAGGCAGGCAGAUCACGAGGUCAGGAGAUCGAGACCAUCCUGGCUAACAUGGUGUAAGGGAGGAGACCACCCCUCAUAUUGUCUUAUGCCCAAUUUCUGCCUCCAAAGAAAGAAAAAGUAAAAACUAAAGGGCAGAAAUGACAUCCACAAGCAGACACCCCAGGUGCCACACCCUGGGCCUGGUAGUUAAAAAUCAACCCCUGACCUGAUUGGUAUGUUAUCUAUAGAUUACAGACAUUGUAUAGAAAAGCACUGUGACAAUGCCUUUCCUGUUUUGUUCCGAUCUAGUUACUGGUGCAUGCAGCCCCCAGUCACGUACCCCCUGCUUGCUCAAUUGAUCACGACCCUCUCACGUGCACCCCCUUAGAGUUGUGAGCCCUUAAAAGGGACAGGAAUUGCUCACUCGGGGAGCUUGGCUCUUGAGACCGGAGUCUUGCCGAUGCCCCUGGCCUAAUAAACCCCUUCCUUCUUUAACUCGGUGUCUGAUAAGUUUUGUCUGCAGCUCGAUUUCUUGGUUCCCUGACUGGGAAGCGAGGUGAAUGGCGGAUGGUCAAGGCAGCUCCUUAGGCGGCUUAAACCUGCCCUGUGGAACAUCCCUGCAGGGGACUCCAACCAGCCCGAGCAACACGGAUCCUGAGGGCGCUCCUGGUUAGGCAUUUGCCCCACUGGGACGCCUCGCCAGAGCACUGUAUGGCAGGCCCCCAUGGAGGAUCAACGCAGUGGCUGAACACCGGGAAGGAACGGGCACUUGGAGUCUGGACAUCUAAAACUUGGUAAGAGUAGUCUUUGAAACUUGCCCACUCCAUUUGAGUGGAAGCAUGGCCUGAUCACCCAUGGCGUGCCUUUAUUGGCACUUUGGUUUUGGUUUGAAUUGCUUGACAGGAUUGGUCUUGGGAACUUGCCUACUCCAUUUGAGUGGAAGUGUGGCCUGAUCACCCAUGGUGUGCCUCUCCUGGCACUUUGGUUUUUAUUUUUGACUUGACUUGGAUUGCUUGAUACUUUGGUUUUGGUUUUGACCUGGCUUGGAUUUCUGGAUACUCUGAUUUUGGUUUGGUGCAAACUGCAAAACUGUGUGUGCGCCCUUUUUACCGGUUCUUUGUUUUGUGGUGUGUUUGUGGUGUGAGCGUGGUGUUUUGUCUUGAAGAAGCAUAGGUCAGGCACGAAUAAGCCCACCCCACUAGGAACUAUGUUGACAAAUUUCAAAAAAGAAUCUGAGGGAGACUAUGGAGUGCUAUGACACCAGGAAAACUUAAAACUUUGUGUAAGAUAGACUGGCCAGCAUUAGAGGUAGGUUGGCCAUUAGAAGGAAGCCUGGACAGGUCCCUUGUUUCAAAGGUAUGGCACAAGGUAACCUAUAAGCCAAGGAACCCAGACCAGUUCCCUUACAGAGACACUUGAUUAGAGCUGGUUUUAGACCCCCCACCCCCAACACAUAGUGGUUGAGAGAACAGCAGCAUAAGUGGCUGGCAGAGGCAAGGAAAGACCAGCAGAGAGAGAGAAAGGAAAGA
rnacentral:lncRNA from 1 species